AUGCUCAGAAGGGGCUGAGAGUGUGUCAGGAGCAACUGCCAGUGGCUGACUGAUCUAUCCAUUCUCCUCACAUGAGCAUCUUCGAUAAUCUGGUUUUGAAUGUAGUGUAGACCGCAGGAGUGGAUAACAGUCCUACCUCAGGGUAAUCUGGAGCAGGCAUAUGGGAAGACAGAAUCCCCUGCUUGAAGCAGACAGCAGGACAGUACACUACAGAUGUAGAUGCUGGACUAUCUUUUGAUAUAGGAUGCAUAAUCUUCUUCUGUGCUGAAGAAAGUGGUUUAGCGUUGGUAUUCUAUGUACUAUGUGAUGUGUCCCAAGCAUUAAAUAUUUUGAUAAUUCUUCAAUAACUUCCCAG
rnacentral:lncRNA from 1 species